rnacentral:rRNA from 1 species
GACGAACGCUGGCGGCGUGCCUAAUACAUGCAAGUUGAGCGCUGAAGGUUGGUACUUGUACCGACUGGAUGAGCAGCGAACGGGUGAGUAACGCGUGGGGAAUCUGCCUUUGAGCGGGGGACAACAUUUGGAAACGAAUGCUAAUACCGCAUAAAAACUUUAAACACAAGUUUUAAGUUUGAAAGAUGCAAUUGCAUCACUCAAAGAUGAUCCCGCGUUGUAUUAGCUAGUUGGUGAGGUAAGGGCUCACCAAGGCGAUGAUACAUAGCCGACCUGAGAGGGUGAUCGGCCACAUUGGGACUGAGACACGGCCCAAACUCCUACAGGAGGCAGCAGUAGGGAAUCUUCGGCAAUGGACGAAAGUCUGACCGAGCAACGCCGCGGGAGUGAAGAAGGGUUUCGGAUCGUAAAACUCUGUUGGUAGAGAAGAACGUUGGUGAGAGUGGAAAGCUCAUCAAGUGACGGUAACUACCCAGAAAGGGACGGCUAACUACGUG